GCAUGUUACUGUGAGUUUUAUUUCUGUGGAGCUCUGUGAUACAUUGAUACAUGCACGUUGCCUAAGCUUGUGUCUACAUCAGUCAACAUUGCAUGAAUUUCAGCUCCCCUUGUGUGAAUGAAAGUGCGAGUAAUUUUAGCAUCUAUAUGUAUCACAAGCUGGUUUAUUAGUCAAUACCUCUACAUUAUCUGAUCUUUAGUGUUCUCAUUAAGCUAACGGAAAGCGGU